GGUAGGUGUAUAUGCUGUGUAGGUGGCAGGCGCUUUGGAGGUAGAUAUUACCUACUCAUAGGUGACAGAACUUACCUCGCCGCCAGCCACCGCACGUCCGCACUGCCGCCUGCUUCUGAGUGUCUGACUGGGAGCCGGAGAUGCGCGGAAACCA